AUUGAACGCUGGCGGCAGGCCUAACACAUGCAAGUCGAGCGGCGCUGCGGACGGGUGUGUAAUGCCUAGGAAUCUGCCUGGUAGUGGUGGAUAACGUCCGGAAAUGGGCACUAAUACCGCAUACUAUCAGAUGAACCUAGGCCGGAUUAGCUAGUUGGUGGGGUAAAGGCCUACCAAGGCGACGAUCCGUAACUGGUCUGAGAGGAUGAUCAGUCACACUGGAACUGAGACACGGUCCAGACUCUUACGGGAGGCAGAAGUGGGGAAUAUUGGACAAUGGGCGAAAGCCUGAUGCAGCAAGGCCGCGGGGGUGAAGAAGGUCUUCGGAUGGGAAAGCACGUUGAGAAGGGAGGCGUUACCAACAGAAUAAGCACCGGCUAACUACGUGCCAGCAGCCGCGGUAAUAC
rnacentral:rRNA from 1 species